UACGGAGGGGGCUAGCGUUGUUCGGAAUUACUGGGCGUAAAGCGCACGUAGGCGGCUUUGUAAGUUAGAGGUGAAAGCCCGGAGCUCAACUCCGGAACUGCCUUUAAGACUGCAUCGCUUGAACGUCGGAGAGGUAAGUGGAAUUCCGAGCGUAGAGGUGAAAUUCGUAGAUAUUCGGAAGAACACCAGUGGCGAAGGCGACUUACUGGACGACUGUUGACGCUGAGGUGCGAAAGCGUGGGGAGCAAACAGG
rnacentral:rRNA from 1 species